CCCCAGUAACGGCGAGUGAAGCGGCAACAGCUCAAAUUUGAAAUCUGGCCCCCCCCCCCCCGGGGGGCCCGAUUUUUAUUUUGCAAAGGAUGUUUUGGGCGAGGCCCCUUCCGAUUUCCCGGGAACGGGACCCCCCAAAGGGGGAAAGCCCCGUCGGGUCGGACCCCAACCCUCUGUAAAGCUCCUUCGACAAGUCGAGUAUUUUGGGAAUGCUGCUCAAAAGGGGAGGUUUUUGUUUUCUAAAGUUAAAUACCGGCCAAAAACCGAUAGCGCAAAAUUAAAGUGAUCAAAAAAUGAAAAGCCCCUUGAAAGGGGGGUUAAACAUUACUUGAAUUUGUUGAAAGGGAACCGCUCGUGACCAGACUUGGGGGGGGCGGAUCACCCGGCUUUCUCCCCGGCCCACUCCCCCCGUCCCAGGCCAGCUUCAUUUCGCGCCGGGGAAAAAAGGCGGCGGAAACUUGGCUCCUCAGGGAGUGUUAUACCCCGCCGCGCCAUGCCCCGGGGGCGGACUGAGGGCCGCGCAUCACUGCAGGGAUGCUGGCGUAAGGGUCACCAGCGACCCGUCUUGAAACCCGGGCAAAGGAGUCCUCCUCGUAUGCAAGUGUUCGGGUGUCAAACCCCUACGCGAAAUGAAAUUGAACUUGGGUGAAAGCUUCGGCGCAUCAUCAACCGAUCCUGAUGUUCUCGAAUGGAUUUGAGUAGGACCAUACGGGGCCGGACCCAAAGAAAGGUGAACUAUGCCUGUGUAGGGUGAAACCCAGAGGAAACUCUGGUGGAAGGCUCGCAGCGGUUCUGACGUGCAAAUCGUAUCGUCAAACAUGGGGCAUGGGGGGCGAAAGACU
rnacentral:rRNA from 1 species